AGUAGUUUGUAGCAUCAUAAUAAUGAUGUUGUUCAACUGCAGACGCUUGGCACGAUUCGCAUGGCAAAAUUACAUGACAUUGGUAAUGAUCCAAUCCCAAGUGCAACUAUUCGAUGUGAACAGAAUGGAAAUUGUAUUGAUUGAAGUGAAAUUGCACACAGCUCAAAACAACUCGACACUACAAAAGUGUUGUCCCAGAAAUAUUUGCAUUGGAAGAUAGAUGUGUUUUCGAUGUAGUGACGAUCCGUGUAAAGGUCCCCAUCAAGUUUGCCAAAGAGAGAUUCUUGACGGUGGUUACAUAUCAAGCAAGAUGUCAGAUGGCAGUGGUGUUGAACUGAAAGGUGAACAAUAUGUUGACUAUUUUUCGCGGUACCCUGAAGUUGAUAAACUAACACGAUUGAACUGACCAACUUCACUAGAAGGGGGUCGAGGUGGUAGCGGGUCAGAUGGCUGCCCAACCCCCACAAACGAACACACCUCAUCAACAAUUGAUUGCAACACUCGGUCUCAAAGAGUCACAGUAAACUAGCUUAACGUUUUCCCUGCUUUAAUUAAAAGUGAAUAUUUGCAUAUUUUUUAUAACCGUAUAUUAAAAACACUUGUAACCAGGUAGAACCGGAUCUGUCGCAUCCAUGGACUCAUCUAGCAACCAACCACCAACCACCACCCCACAAAUAACAAUUGUUAACAGAUAUAAGUGUUCAGAAUGUUCUCACGGUGACAUGACAUCUUUUCCCGGAAAAUCAGGUUUACAAGUUCAUUGGUGGCUCAUGAUAUCCACUGUUGUACUAACUAAGUAAGACUACUCACUUACCAAGAUGGUCCACCUCAAAUUCUCAGGCUCUUUCCUCUGAAAGGAAGCUUCCUACAGCUAUGAUCUGCCAUAAGCAUCGAUAUUCUCACUUCCCUAGAACGAUCGUAUAAAACGGUCACUUUUCUUUCGACGAUUCUGAACCUCGAAGCAAAAUAGUAAAAAUACCACGUGAAAGAGCAGCUCAAUGCAGCGUGCGCAUAGCUCCAACACAGCGUAAAGCGGGGAAAGGGUUAAUCUUUAUCUCAAGUCCAACUAUUAUUGCAUGCUACCCUUGCAUGCUACCCUCACACCACCGCUGUUUCAAGACUCCACUCAAGCUCUGUUUACAUCCGACUAGAAAAACAUUUGCCUUUAAAAAGCGUGGAAACAAGAAAUUCGACGAGUGCAUAACUCCAAUCCGUUACAACACAUGUAAUAAUUCCCGAAAUGUAUUAGGAUGUUAUUUUGUUACUUUAUGUUAUAUAUUAUUUGCUUAUUUGCUAGUAUGUAUACAUGUAUAGGGUAAGUUGAAUGAUUGGAAUGUUUACAUAGUAUUACAUAAUCAAUCAUAUUGAAACUUUGUGAUACAAGGUAUGUGUUUUAGUUUUGUUUUAGUUUUGUGAUACCCCCCCUUUACAGUUUUGAGCAAAGACAGUGCCAAGUAAAGAUAAAGAGCCAAAGAUCUAGAGGAAAGACAGUCCCAAUAGAAAGACAGUCCCAAUAGAAAGAGCAAAGUCAUUGAUGCAUGAAGUAUGACAAUGAUUUCAUGACAGAACAAUCUGGGGCUAUACUAAGACAGUGCCAAGUAUAAAGAGCCAAAUAAAGACAAAGAUCUAGACGAAAGACAGUCCCAAUAGAAAGAGCAAAGAAAGAGCAAAGACAGUCCAGACAAUGCAUUGAUGCAUGAAGUAUGAUAAUGAUUUGAUAACAGACUCAGGGCUACUAUAUAGCUACUGGGCUAUACUUUGACAGUGCGCACAUGUGUAUACUGUCAGUGUAUAGACAACCUAUACAAUUAACAAACUAUAUGUGAUAGCCAAAGACUGUUCAAUUUGCCACAACCAGAAUUAAUGAUCCUAUAAUUGAAAGAUUGUUAAUCUGUCACUGCACUAUUGUGAUGCUAUUUUUAUUAUGAUACAAGUUAUCAGCACAUGUUCAUGACGUUGUAACGGAUUGGAGUUAUGCACUCGCCGAAUUUUUUUAAAGGUGUAGCAAUUUUUCACAUUGCAAAAGUCGGAUUCCCUUUCUCAGUAGUAUUUAAAUUUAAUAGUGUAUUAUAUAACUGAAAGAGUAACGUUCAACCCACCGUCUGUACUAUAGGAAUAUAGGAAUAUUUGGAUUAUAGCCAUCUUGAUAGAGUACUUCGAAGGUGAGUAGUCAUUCAAUAUUUAUGUAGACCACCUGUAUACAUAGACCACCUGUAUACAUGUGCACAUGUGUGUGUGCGUACGCAUAUGUGAACAUGGGAAAAGGUAAGAGGCGUUGACAACCUUUGAAGUUUGUAUGUGAAUGGGGAAAAUUCGCGAGCACUAUAUAAAGCAGUUCCCAAUGCUGUUUUCAUCUCAACAAAGCUUAAUACGUAUGAAUGGCAACUCCUGAACAAACACCUCAGCGUCCAGCCCCCAGUCACUCCUCCAAUCCCAAGGCCUGUCUCUCAGGGACAGUCACAUGUGAGCCAGCAUGUCACACAACGGUUCACAAAGUACAGGUGACUCAAAGCAGUGGAGACAGAUUCAUAUGAAUCUAGUAGUAGUAGUGAUGAAGACUACACUCCUGCUCCACAGCGUGGUAGAGGCAGGGGCCGUGGUGGGGGUGGUGCAGGUGCAGGCAGACGUGUCUACAUAUUCAAUGCACCAGUGACUAUCAAUCAGCAUAAAUAAUCAAUCAGCAUAAAUAACUCUUGAACUCUUGAAUGUAUUAUAACAAUCCUAUGUAAAACCUACUGAUAAAAUGUGAAUAAGAUAAUGUGAAUUGUACAACAAUGACUAGCCUCGGACCACCCAGAUUAGUAUUUCAAUCGUCAUCACUAGCCUCCUUCACAAGGCAGUGAGGCCUGUAAUAGAGGCUAUCAUAAUUAUUACAUGCCUGUCUAAACAUGCCUGUCUAAGUAAAUUCUUAAUCCAAUCCGACUAGAAAAACAUUUG